rnacentral:rRNA from 1 species
AUGUCCCCGCCGAGGCGCCUCGCCGUGCUCUGCUCCCACCUCCGGCCCGACGGCGCCGAGCCUCCAGCCGAGAAUGAGCGGCCGGCCGGGCAGCAAACGGUGAUAUCUGCCUCCCCGUGCGGCGACGACGACCGCGGCGCGGCGGCCGGUCGCGUGGGGGAUCGGGAGGCGGAGAGCUGCGUCUUCUGCCGGAUUAUACGCGACGAGGCGCCGGCGUUCAAGCUGUACGAAGAUGAUGUAUGCGUUUGCAUAUUGGANNNNNNNNNNNNNNNNNNNNNGCAUUCAUUGAUAAUUCCAAAACGCCAUUUUUCAUUGAUGGAGGCCACUCCACCUCAUAUCAUAGCAGCCAUGUGUUCCAAAGUACCUUUUCUGAGCAAUGCAAUUAUGAAGGCUACUGACUGCGAUGCAUUCAACUUGGUCGUCAAUAAUGGAGAAGCUGCAGGACAAGUUAUUUUCCAUACCCACUUCCACAUAAUUCCUCGUAGAUCUGGUGACAAGUUGUGGCCUACAGAGAGCUUUAGGAGGAGCUCUAUUGAGCCAAAUGAAACCUCGAGCCUUAUUAGCUGCAUCAAGGAGCAACUUGAUUCUUCAGAAGGCUGA